rnacentral:rRNA from 1 species
CCGUCGCUUGCGACGGCGAAUUGUAGUCUCGAGAAGCGUCUUCCAGGCGAAUCUUCCCUGCCUAAGUUGCUUGGAACAGCACAUCGGAGAGGGUGACAAUCCCGUAUGUGGCAGGGCGGAUCGCUCACGAUACGCUUUCCAUGAGUCGGGUUGCUUGGGAAUGCAGCCCAAAAUUGGUGGUAAACUCCAUCUAAAGCUAAAUAUUGGCACGAGACCGAUAGCGAACAAGUACCGUGAGGGAAAGAUGAAAAGAACUUUGAAAAGAGAGUUAAAAAGUGCGUGAAACCGUUAGAGGGGAAACGGAUGCAGUUAGCAAUGCUUCUGCGAGAUUCAGGUGAUCGCUUUGUGCGACUUGCAGUCGGUGGAUCUGAAUGGACCGUCACUGCUUGGCCGCACUGWGUGUCCGCCGCACUUCUCGUGGGAGUGCGUCAACAUCUGCUAGAUUUCGUCGAGCUACACGGCCCCGUUGGAAGGUAGAUGGCCGAUUUUUCGGGCAUUGUUAUAGACGUCGGUGGCCCAGCUCGAUUCUGGCAGAGGCGAGCGGUGCAUGCUCUCUUUCGUGGAGGGCUGGCGUCCUGUUGCGUUCUCGUAGCCCGCUGUGAUGCACUGCGUGCAGUUCGUCUCGGCGGGUGAAAAGGCGUGCAGCAAACGCACACUAUGCACCAUGGUUGUUGGCGGCAAUAUGGCUUUAUCCGACCCGUCUUGAAACACGGACCAAGGAGUCUAACAUGUGCGCAAGUCUUGGGGUGACCGAAACCCACGGGCGCAAUGAGAGUGAAGGCUGCCUAGCAGCUGAGGUGAGAUCCUUUCACCACGUCGUGAGAGGCGCAUCAUCGACCGACCUAUUCUACUCUUAGAAAGGUUUGAGUAAGAGCGUACAUGCUGGGACCCGAAAGAUGGUGAACUAUGCCUGAGUAGGGUGAAGCCAGAGGAAACUCUGGUGGAAGCUCGUAGCGAUUCUGACGUGCAAAUCGAUCGUCGAACUUGGGUAUAGGGGCGAAAGACUA